AACGAACGCUGGCGGCAGGCUUAACACAUGCAAGUCGAGCGCCUCGCAAGAGGAGCGGCAGACGGGUGCGUAACGCGUGGGAACGUACCCUUAUCUUCGGAAUAGCUCUGGGAAACUGGAAGUAAUACCGAAUGUGCCCUUAGGGGGAAAGAUUUAUCGGAUAAGGAUCGGCCCGCGUUGGAUUAGCUAGUUGGUGGGGUAAAGGCCUACCAAGGCGACGAUCCAUAGCUGGUCUGAGAGGAUGAUCAGCCACAUUGGGACUGAGACACGGCCCAAACUCCUACGGGAGGCAGCAGUGGGGAAUAUUGGACAAUGGGCGCAAGCCUGAUCCAGCCAUGCCGCGUGAGUGAUGAAGGCCUUAGGGUUGUAAAGCUCUUUCACCGGAGAAGAUAAUGACGGUAUCCGGAGAAGAAGCCCCGGCUAACUUCGUG
rnacentral:rRNA from 1 species